CCCCGCGCCGGGACUUGGCGCGCGCAGCCCGCCCGCGCCCUCCUUUCUGCGGCCCCUGCGCGCGCGUCCCGACAUGGCGGCGGCGAGCACAGCGUGUUGUCAAGCAAGGUUAAAAAUACCCUUUUCACUCACCUUUCUGGGAACUUGAACUAAGCUGGUUACUUCACUGGGCUAACAUUAAGCCUUCACCAGCUGCACAAUGCAGAGAAACACCUGAAUCUGUUGGGAUUUGCAGUUGUUUGCUGAAGGUCAGUGACGAAUGCUGACAAGCUGAACCAGCAGAUCUGACAACAACGGACAUUCUCAGAAAUCAAGGCUGGGCCUGGUCUACAGCUGCCUGGAAGAAAAGGCUGUUCCCUACUGUCGUCUGUUCCAGAAUAAAGUAAAUUACUGAAAA